CAGUUCACUCUGCCCAAGGCAGCUACACACAGAGAUGCCAUGUGUCUCUCAGCGAUACUCAUCCCUCCAACAAGAAAACUGAGACUAACUACAGGUGAUCGUCAGGCAAGACUUGUUUUCGCCUGUGACAAGAUGGAUACACGGAUCCAAUCUAUGUGGAAUGUGUACACUGCCUGCCUUGUCUGCCAUACAAUUGUUUGAAUGCGUGCCAUGUCUCGGGCCACUUGGACCUGGUACAUCUUGUGCGGCAUCAGUGGGCUGCUUUGCCUUUUUGCUAUUGCUAUCUUCGUAGUCAUCAACCUGCUCCACAUCAGAGCUCCCUUCAGCAUCCUCUUCAGAGUCCUGCUGACCAAAAACAUUCAGAGAAGAAAAUUUUGGAUUGAAGGUCGUGCAUAAACUUCUUUAUCAGAAAAAAAAAAAUAGCUGAGAGCCAAUACCAAUGAUAAUAAUAAUAAUAUUUGGGGUGUUACAUCCAAAAACUACAAUAUAAAUAUGAAAGAUGCCGUAGCGGAGGGCUCCAGAACUUUUGAACAUCUGGUGUUCUUUUAGAUACACUGACAUUGAUCACACAGUACAUGGGCGUCUAUUAUUUCAUUUCCUCAAAAUGCAACCACCGCGGCUGAGAUCAAACCCGCCACCUUCAGGUCAGCAGCUGAACACUUUAGCCACUGCUCUACCGCGGCCAAUUGGAAAGCUGAAACUAGUGUUCAACAGUGAUAAGAGGCGCCAUUCUCUUGUCAACACUCAAACAUUACAAAGAUGUGCUCCAUAGCAGCAAACUGAUCAGCACUGUCAAAGCUAGACCUAGAGUCAUUCCAUUAGGAUAGCCACUCUCAUGAAAUAUUUUGCAGUCUUCCUAGACAGGAAUAAAUUAAAAAGCUACGCAAAAAAAUCUGUAACAAUAAGUCAAUGUAUCUCAGUUCAAUAAAUCAUUUACAAUGACCAUACCUGCAAA